AGAGUUUGAUCCUGGCUCAGGACGAACGCUGGCGGCGUGCCUAAUACAUGCAAGUAGAACGCUGAAGACUUUAGCUUGCUAAAGUUGGAAGAGUUGCGAACGGGUGAGUAACGCGUAGGUAACCUGCCUACUAGCGGGGGAUAACUAUUGGAAACGAUAGCUAAUACCGCAUAACAGCAUUUAACACAUGUUAGAUGCUUGAAAGGAGCAAUUGCUUCACUAGUAGAUGGACCUGCGUUGUAUUAGCUAGUUGGUGAGGUAACGGCUCACCAAGGCGACGAUACAUAGCCGACCUGAGAGGGUGAUCGGCCACACUGGGACUGAGACACGGCCCAGACUCCUACGGGAGGCAGCAGUAGGGAAUCUUCGGCAAUGGGGGCAACCUUGCCGAGCAACGCCGCGUGAGUGAAGAAGGUUUUCGGAUCGUAAAGCUCUGUUGUUAAGAAGAAGAACGUUGUGUGUAGAUUGGAAAUUCACACAGUGACGGUUAACUUACCAGAAAAGGGACCGCUAACUACCUGCCAGCAGCCGCGGUAAU
rnacentral:rRNA from 1 species